UUUAUUUAUUUAUUUUUAGGAAAAGUAUUAUUUUUAAUGCAAAUGGUGGCUUUCUGAAUUUCAAAUGCUACAGUCCACUUCUGCCACUCUGCAUCAGUUUGAUCUCAUCAAGACAGGUGUCACGGGAUGCUUGCUCAUAGUGCAGGAAUACAAGAGGAAAAAUACAGUAGUGCAGCUGCACUUGGAUGAAGGGCUCUGAAUACAAUCAGUACAAGAGAUACAUGGACAUAUUGGAGCAAGUCCCAUGAAGGGCCAGAAAGAUGAUGAAGGGAUUGGAGCACCUGACACAUCAGAGGAGAGUGAGGGAGUGGGGUUGCUCACCCUGGAGAGGAGAAGGCUCAGGUAUCUUAUCAAAGCACAUAAACACCCAGUGGAAGGGGUAAUGCCAGACCCUCCUUGGUGGUGUCUAGUGAACAGGUAAGAGGCUAUGGGAGCAAGUUGAAACAUGGGACAUUUUAUUUAAACAUGCUUUUUGUCUAAAUAUUUCUAAUGAAAAAUUACGAGGGUCAGGUGCUGAGUAGCUUGCAAAGAGGAACUGUUGUGUCUCCAUCCUUGGAGAUAUUCAAAACCUUAUGGGACACAGCACAGCCAUUGGCCAGCAUACUCUCAACAGGUCUGAAAGGACAGCAGCAACACUUGUUUGUAUCUAGAGCCAUUCCACCUGCUAUGGUUCUGGGAGCUAUCAAGUUAAUUUAGGUAUCUAACAAUAAUUUUUUUUUCCCCUCCCCAUUUUGAUAUUUUGAGAGUAUCUUUCACACUAAUUGUUUACCCUGGGUGGGUAAACAGAGCUUGAUGGAAAGCCUGUGUAAGUAAAUAGAUGUGCUGACCUGGGAUUUAGACCAUCUGGGCUCACGGGGGGGGGGAGGAGGGAGAUGGGAAUUGAGAAAAUAUGUGGAAAAUGAGGGGUGAGAUGAA